UUGAACCAAAAAUAUCACAGCGCUCUCAUUAUGCAGAGCCCUCUGGAGGACUUGCUGCCCUGCCGUGCCUCGUCCACAGGAAAGACUUGUGGGUUUUAAUUCAGGCAACAGCAAAGCUCAGUCACCAUCUAAAACUGAAGGCACGUGGGAAAAAAAGCAAAGCACAGGUCUGCAUCAUUGGAUUCCAUUACUAAGGAGGAUAAUCUACCACCACCAUCUAGUUGCUGAUUCCACUUGAAAUUGUGAUUCACUGUGAGUAACUUAGGCUGUACAGGGUUCUGUUUUCAAGGAUAAAGUUUAUCUGGCCUAACAUUCAAAGCUUUGGAAUGAACUGCAGGAUUUGGACCAAAUAAUAUAAUGAGGAAUGGGAAGAGCAUGCAUACUCAACACAGACCGUGAUCAUGCUGAAUUGAACCCUGCUCUUGGGAGCUGUGAAGCACCAGCAUUAACCACUGGGCCCCCGGGCUUCCUAAUCAUGCUUCAGUACUCAAGGAGAAGGUAUCAAGGGCCUUUCUCUUUUCAUUUUUAUGAUUUGAUGAAGACUAUGGCUUCAUAUACAGCACCUAUUAAAAAAAAUAACAAAAUAA